CCCAUAGCUCAGUUGGUUAGAGCUGCGGACUCAUAAUCCGUCGGUCCCUGGUUCAAGUCCAGGUGGG
rnacentral:tRNA from 2 species